UCGAUCCUCAUCUCCUCGGUUUGUCUUCUCUCUGCAUUCAGCUCUAGCCAGGCUUUGUACCUGCGCAUUCUCAAAUUUUGGAGAUAUACAUCAUGGCAACUCGCCAAACUGGUACUGUUAAGUGGUUUAACGAAGUUAAAGGUUUCGGCUUCAUCACCCCGGAAAGCGGCGCAGAUGUUUUCGUUCACUUCCGACAGAUCGAAGCUAGCGGUUACAAGUCCCUUGACGAAGGACAACGUGUAAGCUUCUUCGUUACUGCAGGCGCCAAAGGCCCGCAGGCCGAGCAAGUGCAAGCUCUGUAGGGCUGUUAGCGCGAAACAAUAAGCCCCGC
rnacentral:sRNA from 1 species